rnacentral:rRNA from 1 species
GUCGACGAGAACGGGUCUUAGCUUGCUAGAUUGUCAGCUAAGUGGCGCACGGGUGAGUAAUAUAUAGUUAACCUGCCCUAGAGAGAGGGAUAACGUUUGGAAACGGACGCUAACACCUCAUAUGCCUUUAAGUCAAAAGACUGCAAGGGAAACAUUUAUGGCUCUAGGAUGGGACUGUACGGUAUCAGUUAGUUGGUGAGGUAAUGGCUCACCAAGACAAUGACACCUAACUGGUUUGAGAGGAUGAUCAGUCACACUGGAACUGAGACACGGUCCAGACUCCUACGGGAGGCAGCAGUGGGGAAUAUUGCACAAUGGACGAAAGUCUGAUGCAGCAACGCCGCGUGGAGGAUGACACAUUUCGGUGCGUAAACUCCUUUUAUAUAGGAAGAUAAUGACGGUACUAUAUGAAUAAGCACCGGCUAACUCCGUGCCAGCAGCCGCGGUAAUACGGAGGGUGCAAGCGUUACUCGGAAUCACUGGGCGUAAAGAGAAUGUAGGCGGGUAAUUAAGUCAGAAGUGAAAUCCAAUAGCUCAACUAUUGAACUGCUUUUGAAACUGAUAACCUAGAAUAUGGGAGAGGUAGAUGGAAUUUCUGGUGCAGGGGUAAAAUCCGUA